GACAGAGGGUGCAAACGUUGUUCGGAAUUACUGGGCGUAAAGCGCGUGUAGGCGGCUAAGUAAGUCGGGCGUGAAAUCCCACGGCUCAACCGUGGAAGUGCACUCGAAACUGCAUAGCUAGAGUCCUGGAGAGGAAGGUGGAAUGCUUGGUGUAGAGGUGAAAUUCGUAGAUAUUGGGAAGAACACCGGUGGCGAAGGCGGCUCACUGGCUCAUUUCUGACGCUCAGGCGCGACAGCGUGGGGAUCAAACAGG
rnacentral:rRNA from 1 species